AUAUCACACUAUCCAUUGGUUC
rnacentral:siRNA from 1 species